UAGGCUUUCCCAGAAGGCACUCAGCAGAGGUGAGUUGGCUCAGGUUACGGCAAACAUUGUCACAAUCACAAGAAAAACUCCUGACAAGAACUACAGCUCUUCAUUCUGUCCCGAACUCCUCUUAUCUGUCCCGACCCUGCUAUAACCGUGGCUGGAGAUAGAGAUAUGUGACCCCUUCCUCUUAAAGUCCACUGACAUUGGAUCUAAGCAGACAGCAGAUCGAGUUGGUUUGUUGAAAUGAAUGCAGUCCAGUCAAACUCUGUCGUUCAAGUUGGUGCUGGAAAAGUUUGCUCCAGGGCUGAGUUUU